AAAAUUCAUUAUUUUGAAAAUUCUCAUUUUUUUUCUCUCUCUGAUGGUCCAUCUCCAUGUUCAUCAUCAUCACUAUUUGCUAUUGUUUUCUUCCACCACAACGUUGGCAACACUUCUUCUCUAUUUCUACUUCAUUUGUUCUUGCCCAGGCCUACGGAUAUCUCAUGGCUAGAUAACUCUUUUAAUUUUUUUCCUUGCGGCCUAUGGAUAAUUUUUAUGGUUAAACUUGAUGUUGGUUGCUUCAACAUGGAUGCGGAGUCUACAGACAUGCAGCUUCUCAAUCUACUUUACUCUAGUAAUGGCAAUCCAUUCCUGACCAAUUUAAGCGAAGUUGUUGGACAAAGUGGCUGGCUUCUGUUAUGAUUCAAACAAGCAUCACCAUUCAACAAGGGGACUCUAGGCUAGCUAAAUAGUAUGAAUAUCUUGCAGCAGCAACAUAAGAAGCAAAUUUCAAGCAACGUGGAUAAUAACGAGUGUUCCUUUAUCCAAGGGAGCUGUUAGUAGUCUAUUGGAAUUAGAAUUUAGCCAAUAGGUAGAUUUGUCAGAUUGAGUUACUAGUUUAUUAUUUGUUCUUGGAUAUUAUCAAGUUGAUGUUGUAUCAAUUAGUCCUCUAUCUCUAUGUCAAGUUGAUGUUUACAGGA